rnacentral:rRNA from 1 species
CCUACGGGUGGCAGCAGUGAGGAAUAUUGGUCAAUGGACGAGAGUCUGAACCAGCCAAGUAGCGUGAAGGAUGACUGCCCUAUGGGUUGUAAACUUCUUUUAUAAAGGAAUAAAACGAGGCAAGUGUGCCUUUUUGCAUGUACUUUAUGAAUAAGGAUCGGCUAACUCCGUGCCAGCAGCCGCGGUAAUACGGAGGAUCCGAGCGUUAUCCGGAUUUAUUGGGUUUAAAGGGAGCGUAGAUGGGUUGUUAAGUCAGUUGUGAAAGUUUGCGGCUCAACCGUAAAAUUGCAAUUGAUACUGGCAGUCUUGAGUACAGGUGAGGAAGGUGGAAUUCGUGGUGUAGCGGUGAAAUGCUUAGAUAUCACGAAGAACCCCGAUUGCGAAGGCAGCUUACUAAACUGUGACUGACAUUGAUGCUCGAAAGUGUGGGUAGCAAACAGGAUUAGAUACCCCAGUAGUC